rnacentral:rRNA from 1 species
UACGUAGGGUGCAAGUGUUAUCCGGAAUCACUGGGCGUAAAGCGUCUGUAGGUGGUCAAAUAAGUCAACUGUUAAAUCUUGAGGCUCAACCUCAAAAUCGCAGUCGAAACUAUUAGACUAGAGUAUAGUAGGGGUAAAGGGAAUUUCCAGUGGAGCGGUGAAAUGCGUAGAGAUUGGAAAGAACACCGAUGGCGAAGGCACUUUACUGGGCUAUUACUAACACUGAGAGACGAAAGCUAGGGUAGCAAAUGGG